rnacentral:snoRNA from 1 species
CAAAUGUGGAUGCCCCAGGAGGUGGGGCAAGUAGCAUAGGGGAGCACAGCCUUUUCCCCCAUGCACUACAGUCCCUUUCCACACAUUUGAAGCAACCGUACAGUCCUAUGACUUCUUAGAAUCCUGUGGACCCUGACGGAGGAGAUGAACCAUGCAGGAAACAAUA